ACCACAACAGGUGGAGCCUGCGGUUAAUCGGACUCAACGCCGGGAAACUCACCAGAUAAGACAGCUGAAUGAUAGUCGGGCUGAAGACUCACUUGACUAGCUGAGAGGAGGUGCAUGGCCGUCGUCAGUUCGUACUGUGAAGCAUCCUGUUAAGUCAGGCAACGAGCGAGACCCACGCCAACAGUUGCCAGCUCGUCCUCCGGGAUGGUGGGGACACUGUUGGGACCGCCUCUGCUAAAGAGGAGGAAGGAAUGGGCAACGGUAGGUCAGCAUGCCCCGAAUUAUCUGGGCUACACGCGGGCUACAAUGGGUGGGACAAUGGGUAUCGACACCGAAAGGUGAAGGCAAUCUCCUAAACCCAUCCGUAGUUCGGAUUGUGGGCUGCAACUCGCCCACAUGAAGCUGGAAUCUGUAGUAAUCGUGUCUCAAAAUGGCACGGUGAAUAUGUCCCUGCUCCUU
rnacentral:rRNA from 1 species